rnacentral:rRNA from 1 species
UACGUAGGGAGCGAGCGUUGUCCGGAUUUAUUGGGCGUAAAGAGCUCGUAGGCGGUUUGGUAAGUCGGGUGUGAAAGCUCCGGGCUCAACUCGGAGAGGUCACUCGAUACUGCCAUGACUUGAGUCCGGUAGGGGGGUGUGGAAUUCCCAGUGUAGCGGUGAAAUGCGUAGAUAUCGGGAGGAACACCUGUGGCGAAAGCGGCGCACUGGACCACUUCUGACGCUGAGGCGCGAAAGCUAGGGGAGCAAACAGG